rnacentral:rRNA from 1 species
UACGAGGGGUGCGAGCGUUGCUCGGAAUUAUUGGGCGUAAAGGGUAGGUAGGUGGUUUCGUUUGUCUGGGGUGAAAGCCUUGAGCUUAACUCAAGAAGUGCCUCGGAAACGGCGAAACUCGAGUACUGGAGAGGUCGUGGAAUUCCCGGUGUAGCGGUGAAAUGCGUAGAGAUCGGGAGGAACACCAGAGGCGAAGGCGGCGACCUGGACAGUUACUGACACUCAACUACGAAAGCGUGGGGAGCAAACAGG